ACUCGCGAGCCCCACGUUGGGCGCCAAUUAUUCAAAUGUAUCAUUCAAUUUGAAGUUAUUUUAUUUGCCGUCAUCACGGCUUAGUUGUCAAGUAUAAAGUGACCAUUGAAUUAUUCUUAACUUAGCUCAAGCCACCAACCCGCAUCGCGUUGUAGCUCCUCUGCUGACGUUUUGCUGACCUUGCGCCUCGUGCAUGGUGUUUGUUUACUUAGAUGUCUGGCCAAUGUUCUCACGCAAAAUGUGCUGACUUAGCGACAUGUGCAGAGUGGUAGGCUCUUAUUACGACGGGAAUUAGGGUGUGUCGUUUCUUCGCGAUAACUUAUAUAAGACAACAUUUGUAAAAUAAUCUUUAUUACUAGUAAACAAUCUUCAGUUUUCAUUCGAUUUUGAACUGCGCUACAAUCGUUUAAUAGCCAACAGCCUAAUUACUUCUUGGCGAAGUUAUUUAAAAUUCACAGGUGACGUUUUGAAAGAUACCUACUAUUGGAAGCUGUUUAAUACCAGAGUGGUUUAUUGAAAUCAAACCGUUUUUACAUCUGCUACGACUACUACCUUCAUUUACACUACGCUCAAAGGAAAAUAAACAACAACGAGUAAAUUUCGAAUCAACCAUCAAUAAAUUUAUAAAUUUUCAGAAUAUAAAUACACCCAUAGACGACUUCGAAUUAAACAGCAAGCAGGCCACAAUCGUAGCAUCUGGAAAAAGCAAGGAGGAAAUUGUUCAGUAUUUUAUUUUAAUUGACGGUAAAGCUUUACAUGUGCCUAUAACAUAUACUUUCAUUGAGGUAUUUCAUUUAUAUUUUAAGUCAUUUUAUGUAUUCCAUAUAGAAUUCGAUCCAGCAUUGUCAAACUUUUUAAAAUUUUUUUCUAAGUUCAUUUACAAAGUUGAACCGAAUGUAAAGUGUUCUAAUCGAGUUCUUGAGAUCUAUAUGAAGUUAAAAAGCAAAAUUGAUGCUGAACGAUCAGUAAUUUAAAAAAUGGGAUAUCAGUAGGGAAAAAAAGUUUUAUAAAUAAGUAGUACUAAUCUAAAUGAAAAUGUAAAAUUUUGUGUAUCAAAGGUUUUACCAGAAUACGAAACAUGUAUACUUUCAUUGAUAUUCUUAAUAUUUACGAGGUGUCUCCUUCGAAAAAUAAGGAGGUAAUCCCCUUUGACAACCUGAAAUUUAAAAAGCCUCAUGAUUACUAUCAUAUUAAUUCUAAUAUAUACAUAAUAAUAACGGAUGUAAUUUUUAUCUAAAUAAUAUAUGUAAAUAGUUUUUGAACUGAAUAAAAA